AAGAAAACAAGAAAAAUACAAAACGACAAAAAAGAAAAAAAAAAGAGACAAAAGAAAAAAGAAAGAAAAAUAAAAAAAAUCAAUUAACUUAUCUCAGUGCAGGAAAUUAAAGCAGAAAGAUUCUCAGCCAAACCAAUCAACUUUUGGCUCCAAUCAAUCAAAUACUUUCAAGGCCGAAAUUGGAGACUUUCAAGGCACA
rnacentral:lncRNA from 1 species